rfam:Salmo salar isolate Sally breed double haploid chromosome ssa02, whole genome shotgun sequence.
AACCCACAACCCUGGCGUAAGUCGCUCUGGAUAAGAGCGUCUGCUAAAUGACUAAAG